UACGUAGGAGGCGAGCGUUGUCCGGAAUUACUGGGUGUAAAGCGCGCGUAGGUGGGAGGCCAAGUCUGUGGUGAAAUCGCCCGGCUCAACUGGGCGGGGUCCAUGGAAACUGGUCACCUGGAGGACGGUAGAGGCGAGUGGAAUUCCCGGUGUAGUGGUGAAAUGCGUAGAGAUCGGGAGGAACACCAGUGGCGAAGGCGGCUCGCUGGGCCGGUCCUGACACUGAGGCGCGAAGGCGUGGGGAGCGAACGGG
rnacentral:rRNA from 1 species